CAUGGAAACAAACCAUGUUCAGAUAAUAUGAUAAGGGAGAUCUUGAGUGGAAUAUAUAUCAAUAACAAAACAAGCCAACCCUUUAAACUGGGAAAAAAAAUGGAUCUACUGUAGAAAUGCUCCACAAGAAUCUCGUGAAACCCCACCAUUGGAAAAAUCCUUACCAGCAUUCAUACUAUCGGAUCUAAAAGCAAAAGACUGGAGACGCUGUCUUGCACUGGCUGCAGCAGCAAUGGACUCUUCAUCUUGCUUUUCCUUUGCAGC
rnacentral:misc_RNA from 1 species